rnacentral:rRNA from 1 species
GACGAACGCUGGCGGCGUGCUUAACACAUGCAAGUCGAACGGUGAAGCGCCUUCCUUUUUGGUUGGUGUGGAUGAGUGGCGAACGGGUGAGUAACACGUGAGUAACCUUCCCCCUUCUUCUGGAUAACCGCAUUAAAGUGUGGCUAAUACGGGAUAUUCUGGGUCUUUCGCAUGCUUGGUCUGGGAAAGAUCUUGUUUCUGUGGGGGAUGGGCUCGCGGCCUAUCAGCUUGUUGGUGGGGUGAGGUCCUACCAAGGCGGUGAGGGGUAGCCGGCCUGAGAGGGUAGACGGUCAGACUGGGAGUGCGACAAGGCUGAGACUCCUACGGGGGGCAGAAGUGGGGAAUAUUGAACAAUGGGGGAAAGCGUGAUGCAGCGACGCGGCGUAAGGAAUGGAGGCCUGCGGGUUGUGAACCUCUUUCGCCAGUGAAGCAGGCCUGCCUGGUUUGUGGGUGGGUUGACGGUAGCUGGAGAAGAAGCGCCGGCUAACUACGUG